GAUGAACGCUAGCUACAGGCUUAACACAUGCAAGUCGAGGGGCAGCAUGACGAUAGCUUGCUAUUGUUGAUGGCGACCGGCGCACGGGUGAGUAACGCGUAUCCAACCUUCCCAUAGCUAGGGAAUAACCUUGCGAAAGUAAGACUAAUGCCCUAUAAUAUUCUUUGCAGACAUCUAAAGAGAAUUAAAGAUUUAUCGGCUAUGGAUGGGGAUGCGUCUGAUUAGGUUGUUGGCGGGGUAACGGCCCACCAAGCCCACGAUCAGUAGGGGUUCUGAGAGGAAGGUCCCCCACAUUGGAACUGAGACACGGUCCAA
rnacentral:rRNA from 1 species